rnacentral:rRNA from 1 species
GAUGAACGCUAGCUACAGGCUUAACACAUGCAAGUCGAGGGGUAACGAGAGGAAAGCUUGCUUUCCUUGUCGACGACCGGCGCACGGGUGAGUAACGCGUAUCCAACCUGCCCCCAACUAAGGAAUAACCUUGCGAAAGUAAGACUAAUACCUUAUAAUUUCCUCAGAUGUCAUCUGACGAGGAAUAAAGAUUUAUCGGUUGUGGAUGGGGUUGCGUCUGAUUAGCUUGUUGGCGGGGUAACGGCCCACCAAGGCAACGAUCAGGAGGGGUUCUGCGAGGGAGGGCCCCCAAAUUGGAACUGAGACACGGUCCAAACUCCGACGGGAGGCAGCAGUGAGGAAUAUUGGUCAAUGGGCGAAAGCCUGAACCAGCCAAGUAGCGUGCAGGAUGACGGCCCUAUGGGUUGUAAACUGCUUUUGUACGGAACGAAAAGGUUUGGCCUAAUAAGCUGAGCUCAUGACGGUACCGUAAGAAUAAGCACCGGCUAACUACGUGCCAGCAGCCGCCGUAA